rnacentral:lncRNA from 1 species
ACAGUACUUGGCAUAAAGUAAGGACUUAAUAAAAAUGAGCUCUUAGUCUGUGUUAAAUUCUUCUCUGUUGAUUUUGUGCUCGUUUUUUCCACUAGCUCAUAAGUUCCUCCAGAAAACUAAUCUCAUCUUCAAUCAACAUUCAACAUUUUGACAACAUAUGCCUGAUGACCUCUGAAGUACAAAAGAAGAAGAGGAGGAGAAGGAGGAGGAAGAAACAGAGAAGAAGAACGAACGAAGAAGGAAGGCAGGGUCCUUGCUCUAGAAAGACAGAUUUGUAUAUUUUUGUAUUAUAACCCAGGGUAGUAAAUAUAAUUGUAGUGAUAAAGUCAAGUUAUGGAAAGGUAGAAAAUGAAGCAACUUGUUUCAAAAGCUGUAUCACCUUAAUAUAAGUCUUAAAUUGAAGUCAGGAUUUUUUCAGGCUAACCAAAGGUAUUUUAUAAACCAUGUAAUGAAAGGAACUGACCAAUCUGAAAGUUCCAGGGAAGAUUUUUUAGGGAAAAUUUGAGAAGGCAAGAGAGACAAAUAAUGAUGAGAGAUAGCUAUAUAGUGGAUGGCAAAAAUGAUGGCGGUUGGGGCAGCAGGCUUUGGAUAACUUGUGCUUCAAGGCAAGGAGUUUAGAUUAUGUACUGAGAACAUCAAGGAGCAUUGAAGCAAUGUGCUUGGCAUUGCAUGCUGGAAUCCCCCCUUUGCUGAAGCACUGUGGAUUGUAAUUCUUAUUGUAAAGCUCUGUUUUUCUGAUUGAAGGGUCACAGUCUCAAGGAUAUGCAGACUGACAUUUGGAUCUGAUUUCAAUCUCUGGUAGUAUACUUAAGAAAUACUAUGUACUCUAGAAACA